UCUUUGCUAGUAUAUCGGUUAGUACACGCGCCUGUCAUUGGGACAUUGGUACGCGCGAAAGCUGGGUUCGACUCCCAGGCAGAGAG
rnacentral:tRNA from 1 species